GGUCCGUGAUGAGCGCUGGCAUGUAUGACCUGACCUGGAGUUGAUGACUGUCACCGCUUUAGCUCUAGAAUUACUCUGAGACCCA
rnacentral:snoRNA from 1 species